rnacentral:tRNA from 1 species
CGACCGCGGGCGUCACGGCACCCGCUCCGCUGUCGUCGGAGCGCUCCCGCGCGGCAGCGGUGAUCGCGUCCUCGGUGAUCGAC